AGGCCAAUGAGGCCGAGGAGUUGAGGCGG
rnacentral:sRNA from 1 species